rnacentral:rRNA from 1 species
UACAGAGGUCUCAAGCGUUGUUCGGAUUCAUUGGGCGUAAAGGGCGCGUAGGCGGUGCGGUAAGUCACCUGUGAAAACUCUGGGCUCAACUCAGAGCCUGCAGGCGAAACUGCCGUGCUUGAGUGUGGGAGAGGUGCGUGGAAUUCCCGGUGUAGCGGUGAAAUGCGUAGAUAUUGGGAGGAACACCUGUGGCGAAAGCGGCGCACUGGACCACAACUGACGCUGAGGCGCGAAAGCUAGGGGAGCAAACAGG